rnacentral:rRNA from 1 species
UACGUAGGGUGCGAGCGUUGUCCGGAAUUAUUGGGCGUAAAGAGCUCGUAGGCGGCCUGUUGCGUCUGCUGUGAAAGCCCGGGGCUUAACCCCGGGUCUGCAGUGGAUACGGGCAGGCUAGAGUCCGGUUGGGGAGACUGGAAUUCCUGGUGUAGCGGUGGAAUGCGCAGAUAUCAGGAGGAACACCGGUGGCGAAGGCGGGUCUCUGGGCCGGUACUGACGCUGAGGAGCGAAAGCGUGGGGAGCGAACAGG